UUUCCGUAGGUGAACCUGCGGAAGGAUCAUUCAUAAUAAGUGUUUUAUGGCACUUUUUUAAAUCCAUAUCCACCUUGUGUGCAAUGUCAGGGUUGAUUUUUCUCUCGAGAGGAUCGGCCCCAAACAUCAACUAUAUCUCAACUCUUUGUCUGAAAAAUAUUAUAAAUAAAACAAUUCAAAAUACAACUUUCAACAACGGAUCUCUUGGCUCUC
rnacentral:misc_RNA from 1 species